rnacentral:tRNA from 1 species
GCCCGAAUAGCUCAGCCGGUUAUAGCACUUGACUGUUAAUCAGGGGGUCGUUGGUUCGAGUCCAACUUCGGGCGCCA